rnacentral:misc_RNA from 1 species
UUGAUUCAUUUGUUUAUGAUUCCACUCAGACAUGCUAGGUAAGAAAAUACAAGAGUUUGGGUCCCCCGGCGGGCGCCUGGUUCCGGGGCGGCUCCCUUUCGGGGGCCUUUCCGGGGCGUUAACCCGCCGAGGCAACAUUAAGGUAUGUUCACAGGGGUUUGGGAGUUGUAAACUCGGUAAUGAUCCCUCCGCUGGUUCACCAACGGAGA